AGAAGUUUUUACUUUUUAAAGAGUAAAUUCUCUCACCUCAGGUAGCUCAGAGAGCUGCGCUGGAGGAGAAAAGCCAGUCCUGGCAGGAGCUCUGGUACCUGGGAAGCUGGAUGGAGAGCCUGGGCCAGAAUCCCGGACCCCUCACCUCUGCGGCCUAGCUUUGUGACCUUGGCAAAUCCAUUCUAUGCGCCUCCAUUUCCUGUACAGUGGGGAUCCUUAUUUCUCUGGCACAGAUUGGUAUUUGUUCUGUAAAGCCCAGUACCACUUUAUUUUAUUUUAGUUAUUGAUUUUUUUGAGACAGGGCCUCACUCUGUUGCCAAGGCUGGAAUGCAGUGGCGAGGUCAUAGCUCACUGCAGCCUCAAACUCCUGGGCUCAGGCCAUCCUCCUGCCUCGGCCUCCUGAGUAGCUGGGACGACAGGCAUGCACCAGUGCGCCUAGCUCCAGUACCAUGUUUAAACGGUGCUCAGAAAACUUGCUAAACUUGGUGGAUGGGAAUUGAAAAGAGAUUUAAUGUUUUAAAAAUCAAAGUCACUGAGCUGCAGUGCCACAUGGGAAGGAGGCCUGGAUGUGAAUGUUCCUGGGAGCUGAGAGCUCCUGUGACUGUCGCCAGUUUCCUGUGGUCUCCCACAGACUCAGGACAUCUCCCUCUGCUCCAGGACACCUCAGGACCACCAGGGGGCACUCAUCGCACCUUCACCCCUGGAAGGGAGCUGGUCCUGGGGCCAAAACCCACUGUGCCUGGGAAGCCCUUCCUGGCUUCUGCUCUCCUCAAUGUAUGACAGCCCUGAUUUACCCCCAGGGACUGUUGCCACUCGGGGUUGUAGAGUAAUAUGUAACCAGACUGGAGAACCACAGCAAUGCUCUCUCCUCUGCCCAUCACCUCCCCUUGGCCCCUCCCUCUUCAUCAGCCCCAUUUUGGAGAAGGGAGAAAGAAAGGAGAGGCAGCAGUCUCCUCCCAGGUGGGGCCGGACUCCAGGGAAGGAGAAUUUUCAGAAGUUGCUGGAGUUGCCGAAUCUGUCAGGGCCCAGGGUUCACAGAGCAGUGAUGGAGGAGAAAGGAGAGGAAGCAGAUCUAAGCACACAUGGGCAUCAAACCAGAGGAACAAAGUCACAUGCAGAGGGCUGCACAUAGACACAGGGAAACACACACACGGAGAUGCACAGAAACACGCAGACCCCACGCAGGGACCUGCUUUCCCGCCACAGAGGAAAGCAAUCUGAUCAAACAGACCCACUGUGCACCCAGCCCUCCAUGCUUGGGGACAACACACCUACAAAAAUAUAAGAAAAAAAAGGAAAA
rnacentral:lncRNA from 1 species